UGGGGAAUAUUGCACAAUGGGCGCAAGCCUGAUGCAGCAACGCCGCGUGAGCGAUGAAGGCCUUUGGGUCGUAAAGCUCUGUCCUUGGGGAAGAAACAAAUGACGGUACCCAUGGAGGAAGCCCCGGCUAACUACGUGCCAGCAGCCGCGGUAAUACGUAGGGGGCGAGCGUUAUCCGGAAUUAUUGGGCGUAAAGAGUGCGUAGGUGGCUACGUAAGCGCAGGGUGAAAGGCAAUAGCUCAACUAUUGUAAGCCUUGCGAACUGCGUGGCUUGAGUGCAGGAGAGGAAAGCGGAAUUCCUAGUGUAGCGGUGAAAUGCGUAGAUAUUAGGAGGAACACCGGUGGCGAAGGCGGCUUUCUGGACUGUAACUGACACUGAGGCACGAAAGCGUGGGGAGCAAACA
rnacentral:rRNA from 1 species